CGCGUAGGUGGUUAGGUAAGCGAGAUGUGAAAGCCCCGGGCUUAACCUGGGAACGGCAUUUCGUACUGUCUGACUAGAGUAUGGUAGAGGGUAGUGGAAUUUCCUGUGUAGCGGUGAAAUGCGUAGAUAUAGGAAGGAACACCAGUGGCGAAGGCGGCUACCUGGACCAAUACUGACACUGAGGUGCGAAAGCGUGGGGAGCAAACA
rnacentral:rRNA from 1 species